rnacentral:sRNA from 1 species
UCGCCUUUGCCACAUGCAAGGCAAGUCAACGCUCAAGCAGCCACAAUGCUAUAGAAAUUAAUUGUUUUACUUUUAGAUUUGAGUUAAUUUGGUAAGUCAGAUUAUUAAUCGGGAUAUCAGGUAUGUGUGUUUCAUCUUUUGUUUAAAUUGGUCUUUGCAUUAUGGAGCUGCAGUUUAGAGCUGUUAUUAGUCAUAAAUAUUUUAAUAAGUGAAUUUGUUAUUUCAAUUAGUUUGUCUAGUUU